rnacentral:lncRNA from 1 species
AAACUGUGAAUAUGUCACCUUACCUGGCAAAUGCGACUUUGUGGGUGUAAAUUGAGUGGGGAAGAUUGAAUUAAAUUCAGUUGGAAGAUUAGUCUGGAUUUCCCAGGUGAGCCCAAUCUAAUCCCACAGGUUCUUAAUAGUGGAAAACCUUCCCCAGCUGUGGUCAGAGGGAGACGUUACUGGGGAAGAUUGGUUAGAGGGAUGCAGCGAUGCUGGCUUUGGAGAUGGAGAAAGGGCCGUCUCCGGAAGCUGGAAAGGCAAGGAAAUGAAUCCUUCCGCGGACCCUCCAGCAGGGGAGCAGCCCUGUUGACACCCUGAUUUUAGCCCUGGAAGACCUGUGUCAGACUUCUGACCUACAGAACUCUCAGACUCCAUGAGGAAGAGUGCAGGGGAGAGAAGAGGGAAGAGCAGACCGGAAGAGUUGCAGGUCCUUCUAGUUGUGGGAUGUGUGACGCUGCCUCAACGUGGCCUGACGAGCGGUGCCUUGUCCGCGCCCAGGAUCUGAACUCCGGGCCGCAGCAGUGGAGCGCAGGAACUUAACCACUUGGCCACGGAGCCGGCCCCUCUGGCCAUUCUUAAGGAGAUAUAUUUGCAGACUUGCAAGGAGUGCCUCACUUUGAGCACUUGUGUACACACUGCUCAGCAAACACCCACAACUGAUGAGCGUUUCUGAUGAAGAGCACAACUGGAGCAUUUUGGAGCAGACUGAGAACACUUUGCGUUUACAAUUAUAAUAAUUGACAACUCAAGAAAUAACUGGUCCAGUAUGAACACUGGCUCACGUGUGUGGACGGUAGAUGCAGAUCAGGGAUGCAGCAGGAUGAGAAGAGUGAAAAAGGAAAGAGAAGAGGAUCCUUUCUAGAAGGGUUCUAGAGAGGAGGAAUUGCCAGCUCAUAAAAAAAAACACAUGAUGCUCACUGUUUAUCUCUGUAGUUUGUGUACAUGUUUUUGCUUCUUGUAUUUACUGACACUGGUCAUUUUAUAAUAGGAGCUCUGUUUUUUACAAAUAGUCAUUUUGUGUUGCCUUUUAAAGUCCUCAGUUAAAAACACUAUGUCUGGUAUUGCUUGUGACUGGUAUUUGAGCCAGACAGGCCUCCCCAACAGACAACUGCAGAAAAAGGUGUAGAAGUAAGAUGUGGAUAAUAAUAAGCAUUGUGCAAGUAAUUAAAUAGUCUGUUCUUGUUUGGCUACAUGGAUUGUUUACAUAACAAAGUUUCACGCCAGCCUUCUUAGACUAAAUCUGCUUUUAUUUUUUGUCUCAGUAGAACA